GUGCUUUCUCUAGCAUUGCUUACUGCUGCGCCCCCCCCCCCCCCGCCCGGCCCUGUGCCUUUCUGAACUAAGCACCUUUGCAUUUUUGCUCAGAAAGGCCAUAAGGAGAUGACCGGGUGCUGUGAGAACAGAAAUCCAAAUGAGGUGAGCCAGGCUGCUUCUUCCACUCGCAUUGGCAGCUGAGGCUGGAGAUGCUCUACCUUCUACAGAGCCCUUGAUGUUGCCUCUGAUUGACAGCUCCACCUGCACACCUCUGGCCCUGGAUUCCCCUUGGUAAUGUCGUGAAGCUGCAGAACUCCUCAUCCACUCCACACCAGCCCCACACCCUUCCUGUGCAGCUGUCAAAGGGAAGAGGGGGAGAAAAAAGAAGAUGUGUGUAGCUUUUUC